rnacentral:rRNA from 1 species
CGAGCACGCGCGUGUGGCAUAUCAAUAAGCGGAGGAAAAGAAACUAACAAGGAUUCCCUUAGUAACGGCGAGUGAAGCGGGAAGAGCUCAAAUUUGAAAUCUUCAAGGUUCUACCUUGACGAAUUGUAGUUUAUAGAAGUGUUUUCUGUUAGUAGAGUGGCAAAAGUUCUUUGGAAUAGGACAUCAUAGAGGGUGAGAAUCCCGUAUUUGGUCAUUCCUCCUAGCGUUGUGAUACACUUUCAACGAGUCGGAUCGUUUGGGAAUGCAGUCCAAAAUGGGUGGUAAAUUUCAUCUAAAGCUAAAUAUUGGCGAGAGACCGAUAGCGAACAAGUACCGUGAGGGAAAGAUGAAAAGAACUUUGAAAAGAGAGUUAAACAGUACGUGGAAUUGUCAAAAGGGAAGCGUUUGACACCAGUGUUGUUUUUCCGAAAAUCAAUUACGAAUGUUUUGUUUUUAAGGAGUUAUGACUUCAUCGGCUUGCUUCUUUCUUUACGAAACUUUCUUAAUGCACUUUUCGGUUAACAAGUCAACAUCAAUUUCUUUUGUUGUAAAAGAGUAUGAGGAAGGUGGCUUUCUUUUCGGAGAAAGUGUUUAUAGCCUUGUACUUCUGCAAUCGGAGAGAUUGAGGUCUGCAGCGUAGAUCCUUCGGGGUUAGAUACAUUUGUGCUAAGUUAUAGCUUUUCAUAGACAACUUGUUGACUAUGUUAAGUCUUGUAGCUUACUCGCUUAUGCUAUUUUACCUACGCUUAGGAUGUUGAACUCUAUCACACACA